rnacentral:antisense_RNA from 1 species
UUCAAUGGUGAGCUGGAUAGGGCAGCUGAAAAGCUGGCCGGUCGGUGGUUUCCGGUAGUGCAAAUCCUGUUCAGUUCACCGCCAAU